GGGGACUCUGGAGGAUCUCCACCAAGGUUUUUGCUGGUUAAGGUGGUAAGCUACAUAAGCUUGGCAAGGCAUGAAGCUCCGAGAUGCGGCGUCCGAGAGACUGAUAGGAAAUCCCAUCUUUUCUUUGAUUCGUCAUUUUCUUUUUUUGUUACAGUUUACUUUCAGUCAACGUUUGCCACUGAUACCGGACGAAAGCGCAGCCUUCCACGUCUAUAUAUCCCUCUCCCACCACCUCCAUUGUGUUGAACGUCUUUGUUCUUGAGCACCCUUUUCUCUCCAUCACCAAAAAGUAAAACUCCAAAUUUGCAAUCCAGCUGCCUGGUACUACCAAACCAGAACAACACUUUAACCACAAUACAAAUCUACUGCCCUUUUCACCCAUUCAAAAUGGAAGUCAAGACCCCCGUCGUCCUCGUUCCCUCCAUGGCCCCUCGCUGCUGCCAGUGCAAGACCAUGCUCGUCAUCAGCAACUCCUGCUGCCACUGCGCCCACCACCAGUGCUCCUCCUGCAUCUAAGCUCCAUCGCAUCCACUCCUUUCGAGCACCUUCACUGGGCCGAUCCAAGAGACAAACAUCGAUACAUCCCAUCGGCAUGAACCUACAUACAUCACUGUCCCUACUUGCGAUUACUCAGUUACUCGCUACAACCUCCACUCAGCCAUCAUGCCCUAACGGCAUUCAUUUCAUCCUCUUUUUGUAACGGGACUGUACGACUAUAUUUGACGACACAAGUUGAAUUUGAUACCCGGCGGAACGAACUUCACUUCGACUACUUGAGAGGUGGUUUCCAUUGAUUUUUUUGGCUUUCACACAACCAUGCAUUGCUUUGGGGGAGAACAGGCGGCGGUCGGAGGUGUGCGGUCGGUUGGUUUCAGCCCGUUUGUUUCUUACCAGCAAGUCAGUUACGAUGACAUCUGGGGGGGUUUGGGCAGCAUUGCGACGCAUUGUUGGAAUUUGUGUAUUCUAUCCUGUACGUAAUAGUAUGGGAAUCGUAACAUUACCUUAACAUCUGAACAUUUGU